UCAAGAAACUUCCACAAUGGGCGAAAGCUUGAUGGAGCGACGUCGCGUGAUGGACGAAGUGCUUCGGCACGUAAACAUCUUUUAUGUGGGAUGAAAUUAUUGACAGUACCACAUGAAUAAGGGGCUCCUAACUCUGUGCCAGCAGGAGCGGUAAUACAGAGGCCCCAAGCGUUAUCCGGAAUCACUGGGCGUAAAGGGUGUCGAGGCGGUUGUAUUAGUCGUUCGUAAAAUCUACGAGCUUAACUUGUAGGCGGCGAACGAAACGGUACGACUUGAGGUUUGGAGAGGUGCGUGGAACUCACGGUGUAGGGGUGAAAUCCGUUGAUAUCGUGGGGAACACCAAAGGCGAAGGCAGCGCACUGGCCAAAAUCUGACGCUCACACACGAAAGCUAGGGUAGCGAAGAGGAUUAGAUACCCCCGUAGUCCCUGAGCGGGCUGGCAAGGCGCAU
rnacentral:rRNA from 1 species